rnacentral:rRNA from 1 species
AUUGAACGCUGGCGGCAUGCCUUACACAUGCAAGUCGAACGGCAGCGCGGACUUCGGUCUGGCGGCGAGUGGCGAACGGGUGAGUAAUACAUCGGAACGUACCCUGUUGUGGGGGAUAACUAGUCGAAAGAUUAGCUAAUACCGCAUACGACCUGAGGGUGAAAGUGGGGGACCGCAAGGCCUCACGCAGCAGGAGCGGCCGAUGUCUGAUUAGCUAGUUGGUGGGGUAAAGGCCCACCGAGGCGACGAUCAGUAGCUGGUCUGAGAGGACGAUCAGCCCCGCUGGGACUGAGACACGGCCCAGACUCCUACGGGAGGCAGCAGUGGGGAAUUUUGGACAAUGGGGGCAACCCUGAUCCAGCAAUGCCGCGUGUGUGAAGAAGGCCUUCGGGUUGUAAAGCACUUUUGUCCGGAAAGAAAUCGCGCUGGUUAAUACCUGGCGUGGAUGACGGUACCGGAAGAAUAAGCACCGGCUAACUACGUGCCAGCCGCCGCAGUAA